UUUCGAAUCAUUCACAAUGGGCGAAAGCCUGAUGGUGCGACGCCGCGUGAGGGACGAAGGCCUUCGGGUCGUAAACCUCUGUCACCGGGGAAGAAACGCUGCAUAUUAAUCGUAUGCAGUCUGACUUAACCCGGAGAGGAAGCAGUGGCUAACUCUGUGCCAGCAGCCGCGGUAAUACAGAGACUGCAAGCGUUAUUCGGAUUCACUGGGCGUAAAGGGUGCGCAGGCGGUCGUGUGUGUCAGAUGUGAAAUCCCGGAGCUUAACUCCGGAACUGCGUCUGAAACUACACGACUAGAGCAUUGGAGAGGGAAGUGGAAUUCAUGGUGUAGCAGUGAAAUGCGUAGAUAUCAUGAGGAACACCAGAGGCGAAGGCGACUUCCUGGACAAUUGCUGACGCUCAGGCACGAAAGCAUGGGGAGCAAAAGGG
rnacentral:rRNA from 1 species